rnacentral:rRNA from 1 species
GACGAACGCUGGCGGCGUGCUUAACACAUGCAAGUCGAACGGAAAGGCCCUGCUUUUGUGGGGUGCUCGAGUGGCGAACGGGUGAGUAACACGUGAGUAACCUGCCCUUGACUUUGGGAUAACUUCAGGAAAAUGGGGCUAAUACCGGAUAGGAGCUCCUGCUGCAUGGUGGGGGUUGGAAAGUUUCGGCGGUUGGGGAUGGACUCGCGGCUUAUCAGCUUGUUGGUGGGGUAGUGGCUUACCAAGGCUUUGACGGGUAGCCGGCAUGAGAGGGUGACCGGCCACAUUGGGACUGAGAUACGGCCCAGACUCCUACGGGAGGCAGCAGUGGGGAAUAUUGCACAAUGGGCGGAAGCCUGAUGCAGCAACGCCGCGUGCGGGAUGACGGCCUUCGGGUUGUAAACCGCUUUCGCCUGUGACGAAGCGUGAGUGACGGUAAUGGGUAAAGAAGCACCGGCUAACUACGUG